rfam:Bacillus thuringiensis serovar chinensis CT-43 plasmid pCT281, complete sequence.
GUGAACUAUCAUUCCGAGAAGUCAAACGAUAGGGUAACGCCUUGAAGGGCUUCCUUUAAUCCUUCGACAUGCAGUGAAGUUAGCAAGAACCUUACUGUAUGAAGCUCGGUGAAGUCGGCUGAGAGUUACCGUAAGUCUUAGAGACACGAAAGCCGUCCAGAGGUGGACGGUGUAACCUAUAAGCCGGAAGUCUAUAAA